AAACAAAUUUGUGAUAAUCGUAAUUUCAAAAUUUAGCUGUUGAUAAUUUCUAAGAGUUGACUUCACUUAGAUAUUUUGUUGUCUUAUUUUUUUUUUUUUUUUUUUUUUUAUUAUGUUUAUUUUUUUAGCAGUUACAUCAAAAUGGAGCAACACUAACAAGCUCUGUGACAUAAAACAAGACUUGAUCCGGACAGCGUUACACAACCGGAUUACAACUCUAGACACUUUAGUUACAUCAGAUUGGAGCAACACUGACAAGCUCUGUGACAUAAAAGAAGACUUGAUCCAGACCGCAGUAGUUUUAAACACAACCGGACUACAACUCUAAAGCAUGAUCAAGUAACCAAUAAACAUGGUUCAAGUAUCACCUUCUUUUUUUCUCAGUGAAACUUAGUGCUUUAUUAAACAAAACAAACACAAUAAGGGGUGAAACCCUUCGAAUGUAGCUAGGUAGGUUAGUACAAUUUCUCGAUCCAUUCCUUGUAUUUCUUUAAAUCCAGGGGUGGGGGCUUUUUUCUUUUGGGUAUGUUGAUGAUUUACGAUUAGGGAAUUAGGACAAUAUGUACAACCUAAAUAUUACGUAGGACCAACAAUCGUACAUGACACAUAUUAAAUACAACACAAUUUACACAGGAUACAUUGACUAAUGAUAACAAUGCAUCCGCCCACAAAUAAUGGCCCAGCACCACGUACUUAAUAAGGAGCCAGACAAAAGAAUACUGGCUCCAAGUACACAAUUGCAAUCAUCCAGAUGGGGUCGGGCAAAAGAAUACCGCCCCCCUCUACCCGAUCUCAAAUACUUGCAGCUGGUGUGUUUGUGACCGAGCCGGAUCAACAGAUGGGAAAGAUUGAAGAGGAGGAUGGAAAGAAAGAUGACCGAAGGAUAACAAUGAGAGCCUGCCGACAUUACCUCCCGGACUCAUAAACAAUUGCAAACGAGUCUCCCCUGGGUUGUCAUGCCACGAUCUGAACAGAUCAGGUCCUUUUAAGGGCCCCUAUGGGCAACCUAGGGAGAUGCCUCAGCAUCAACUAGGAUCCAGUAACGAGCUACUCUCAGCACACUCUGAUUCAAAACAUAUGUAGCUCCCUCCUCAGAGGUUGUGCCCAAGACAGGCAUGCUUGAACAGUUCUCUGAUGGCAGCAUGCCAAAAAUUACACACACACAGCUCCCUUCAUUAAACUGGACACUUUUUCCCUUUGGCAUUAAUCUUACGGGACAUUCAAAAUUCCACAGCACCAAACCCACCCUCGGCCUGUUACCAACUCCGGUCAGGCUGCUGGUGCUCACUCGCGGAUGGUCCCUUCUGCCACCCAACCCACCCCUUUCCUAUCCUGGACAGAGAAGCCAUAUAGUUUACUGAAAAAUUCAAAUAUGUUUUAAAUGUUAAGUUCUGUAAAUUUAUUAGGGUAAUUAAACUCACAGAUGUCCCCUGAAACAUACACAUAUCAAAAUAGCGUAAAGUUAAUUGUUUUCUUACAGUUUCUUACAAUUGAAAAAUACAGGUUCAAAAUGAGAUAUUUUAUGUUUAAAACUUUGUUCAAUGAUGUUUUUUUAAUUGUCAAGCUGGAUGCAUAAAUGUUAAAGCAUAUAUUAAAUAUAUACCUUGCAUUCUAUUCAUAUUUAAAGUAUUAAAAACAAAUUUGUGAUAAUCGUAAUUUCAAAAUUUAGCUGUUGAUAAUUUCUAAGAGUUGACUUCACUUAGAUAUUUUGUUGUCUUAUUUUUUUUUUUUUUUUUUUUUUUUUAUUAUGUUUAUUUUUUUAGCAGUUACAUCAAAAUGGAGCAACACUAACAAGCUCUGUGACAUAAAACAAGACUUGAUCCGGACAGCGUUACACAACCGGAUUACAACUCUAGACUUGUUUGUAACAUUGAUCAAAUUGUUUUAAAAUGUAUAUUACAUUUUGUAAGAGUUGUCUCCACUUUCCCUGUUCCAGUCGAGGGACACAUGUUUGGGUUACUGUAGAGUGUGGGUCUUAUGUUUGGCUUUCAAUUAUUGUUAUGUGUAUUACACUUACUUUUAGCUACAUUACAAAUUAUUAUUUUAGACUUCACUGUAAAUAUUGCAAGGAGUUGUCUCCACUUUGCCUGUA